rnacentral:rRNA from 1 species
UGCCAGACUCCUACGGGAGGCAGCAGUGGUGAAUAUUGCACAAUGGGGGAAACCCUGAUGCAGCGACGCCGCGUGAGUGAAGAAGUAUUUCGGUAUGUAAAGCUCUAUCAGCAGGGAAGAAAAUGACGGUACCUGAUUAAGAAGCCCCGGCUAACUACGUGCCAGCAGCCGCGGUAAUACGUAGGGGGCGAGCGUUAUCCGGAAUUACUGGGUGUAAAGGGAGCGUAGACGGCGAGGUAAGCCUGAAGUGGAAGCCCGCGGCCCAACCGCGGAACUGCUUUGGGAACUGUUUUGCUGGAGUAUGGGAGGGGUAAGCGGAAUUCCUGGUGUAGCGGUGAAAUGCGUAGAUAUUAGGAGGAACACCAGUGGCGAAGGCGGCUUGCUGGGCUUUUACUGACGCUGAGGCUCGAAAGCGUGGGGAGCAAACAGGAUUAGAUACCCGUGUA